GCGGGGGUGCCCGAGCCAGGCCAAAGGGGCAGGGCUCAAGACCCUGUGGCGUAGGCCUACGUGGGUUCAAAUCCCACCCCCCGCA
rnacentral:tRNA from 1 species